GAUGAACGCUGGCGGCGUGCCUAAUACAUGCAAGUCGAGCGAGCGGCGGACGGGUGAGUAACACGUGAGAACCUACCUAUAUGGCUGGGAUAACUUCGGGAAACCGGAGCUAAUAGCACUUGCUUAUCGCUUGAUCCGCGCUGUAUGAGCUAGUUGGUAAGGUAACGGCUUACCAAGGCAACGAUGCCUAGCUGACCUGAGAGGAUGAUCGGCCACACUGGAACUGAGACACGGUCCAGACUCCUACGGGAGGCAGCAGUGGGGAAUAUUGCACAAUGGGCGCAAGCCUGAUGCAGCCAUGCCGCGUGUGUGAAGAAGGCCUUCGGGUUGUAAAGCACUUUCAGCGGGGAGGCGUUACUCGCAGAAGAAGCACCGGCUAACUCCGUGCCAGCAGCCGCGGUAAUAC
rnacentral:rRNA from 1 species